GGCGGACGGGUGAGUAACGCGUGAGAAUCUGGCNCCAGGUCGGGGAUAACAGUUGGAAACGACUGCUAAUACCCGGAUGUGCCGAGAGGUGAAAGAUUUAUUGCCUGGAGAUGAGCUCGCGUCUGAUUAGCUAGUUGGKGGUGUAAGGGACCACCAAGGCGUCGAUCAGUAGCUGGUCUGAGAGGAUGAUCAGCCACACUGGGACUGAGACACGGCCCAGACUCCUACGGGAGGCAGCAGUGGGGAAUUUUCCGCAAUGGGCGAAAGCCUGACGGAGCAAUACCGCGUGAGGGAGGAAGGCUCUUGGGUCGUAAACCUCUUUUCUCAAGGAAGAAGAAAGUGACGGUACUUGAGGAAUAAGCAUCGGCUAACUCCGUGCCAGCAGCCGCGGUAAUACGGAGGAUGCAAGCGUUAUCCGGAAUGAUUGGGCGUAAAGGGUCUGCAGGUGGAACUGAAAGUCUGCUGUUAAAGAGUUUGGCUUAACCAAAUAAAAGCGGUGGAAACUACAGAACUAGAGUGCGGUAGGGGCAAAAGGAAUUCCUGGUGUAGCGGUGAAAUGCGUAGAUAUCAGGAAGAACACCGGUGGCGAAAGCGUUUUGCUAGACCGUAACUGACACUGAGGGACGAAAGCUAGGGGAGCGAAUGGGAUUAGAUACCCCAGUAGUCCUAGCCGUAAACGAUGGAUACU
rnacentral:rRNA from 1 species